rnacentral:rRNA from 1 species
GGGCCCGCACAAGCGGUGGAGUAUGUGGUUUAAUUCGAUGCAACGCGAAGAACCUUACCAGGGUUUGACAUCCUGCGAAUCUCUUGGAAACAGGAGAGUGCCUUCGGGAACGCAGUGACAGGUGGUGCAUGGCUGUCGUCAGCUCGUGUCGUGAGAUGUUGGGUUAAGUCCCGCAACGAGCGCAACCCACGUCUUUAGUUGCCAGCAUUUAGUUGGGCACUCUAGAGAGACCGCCGGUGAUAAACCGGAGGAAGGUGUGGAUGACGUCAAGUCAUCAUGCCCCUUACAUCCUGGGCUACACACGUACUACAAUGCUACGGACAAAGGGCAGCAAACUCGCGAGAGCUAG